GUGGCGGACGGGUGAGUAACGCGUAAAGAACUUGCCUUACAGACUGGGACAACAUUUGGAAACGAAUGCUAAUACCGGAUAUUAUGACUGAGUCGCAUGAUUUGGUUAUGAAAGCUAUAUGCGCUGUGAGAGAGCUUUGCGUCCCAUUAGUUAGUUGGUGAGGUAACGGCUCACCAAGACGAUGAUGGGUAGCCGGCCUGAGAGGGUGAACGGCCACAAGGGGACUGAGACACGGCCCUUACUCCUACGGGAGGCAGCAGUGGGGAAUAUUGGACAAUGGACCAAAAGUCUGAUCCAGCAAUUCUGUGUGCACGAUGAAGUUUUUCGGAAUGUAAAGUGCUUUCAGUUGGGAAGAAGUCAGUGACGGUACCAACAGAAGAAGCGACGGCUAAAUACGUGCCAGCAGCCGCGGUAAUACGUAUGUCGCAAGCGUUAUCCGGAUUUUAUUGGGCGUAAAGCGCGUCUAGGCGGUUUAGUAAGUCUGAUGUGAAAAUGCGGGGCUCAACCCCGUAUUGCGUUGGAAACUGCUAAACUAGAGUACUGGAGAGGUAGGCGGAACUACAAGUGUAGAGGUGAAAUUCGUAGAUAUUUGUAGGAAUGCCGAUGGGGAAGCCAGCCUACUGGACAGAUACUGACGCUAAAGCGCGAAAGCGUGGGUAGCAAACAGGAUUAGAUACCCUGGUAGUCCACGCCGUAAACGAUGAUUACUAGGUGUUGGGGGUCGAACCUCAGCGCCCAAGCUAACGCGAUAAGUAAUCCGCCUGGGGAGUACGUACGCAAGUAUGAAACUCAAAGGAAUUGACGGGGACCCGCACAAGCGGUGGAGCAUGUGGUUUAAUUCGACGCAACGCGAGGAACCUUACCAGCGUUUGACAUCCCAAGAAGUUAACAGAGAUGUUUUUCGUGCCUCUUCGGAGGAACUUGGUUGACAGGUGGUGCAUGGCUGUCGUCAGCUCCUUGUCUUGAGAUGUUGGGUUAAAGUCCCCGCAACGAGCGCAACCCCUUUCGUAUGUUACCAUCAUUAAGUUGGGGACUCAUGCGAGACUGCCUGCGAUGAGCAGGAGGAAGGUGGGGAUGACGUCAAGUCAUCAUGCCCCUUAUACGCUGGGCUACACACGUGCUACAAUGGGUAGUACAGAGAGCUGCAAACCUGCGAGGGUAAGCUAAUCUCAUAAAACUAUUCUUAGUUCGGAUUGUACUCUGCAACUCGAGUACAUGAAGUUGGAAUCGCUAGUAAUCGCAAAUCAGCUAUGUUGCGGUGAAUACGUUCUCGGGUCUUGUACACACCGCCCGUCACACCACGAGAGUUGGUUGCACCUGAAGUAANCAGGCCUAACCGUAAGGAGGG
rnacentral:rRNA from 1 species